UACGUAGGGUGCGAGCGUUGUCCGGAAUUAUUGGGCGUAAAGGGCUCGUAGGCGGUUUGUCGCGUCGGGAGUGAAAACACUGGGCUUAACUCAGUGCUUGCUUCCGAUACGGGCAGACUAGAGGUAUUCAGGGGAGAACGGAAUUCCUGGUGUAGCGGUGGAAAUGCGCAGAUAUCAGGAGGAACACCGGUGGCGAAGGCGGUUCUCUGGGAAUGUCCUGACGCUGAGGAGCGAAAAGCAUGGGGGAGCGAACAGG
rnacentral:rRNA from 1 species